rnacentral:rRNA from 1 species
UGGGGAAUAUUGCACAAUGGGCGCAAGCCUGAUGCAGCCAUGCCGCGUGUGUGAAGAAGGCCUUCGGGUUGUAAAGCACUUUCAGCGAGGAGGAAGGUGGUGAGCUUAAUACGCUCAUCAAUUGACGUUACUCGCAGAAGAAGCACCGGCUAACUCCGUGCCAGCAGCCGCGGUAAUACGGAGGGUGCAAGCGUUAAUCGGAAUUACUGGGCGUAAAGCGCACGCAGGCGGUUUGUUAAGUCAGAUGUGAAAUCCCCGGGCUCAACCUGGGAACUGCAUUUGAAACUGGCAAGCUAGAGUCUCGUAGAGGGGGGUAGAAUUCCAGGUGUAGCGGUGAAAUGCGUAGAGAUCUGGAGGAAUACCGGUGGCGAAGGCGGCCCCCUGGACGAAGACUGACGCUCAGGUGCGAAAGGCGUGGGGCAGCAAACAGGAUUAGAUACCCUGGUAGUCACGCUGUAAACGAUGUCNAUUUGGAGGUUGUGCCCUUGAGGCGUGGCUUCCGGAGCUAACGCGUUAAAUCGACCGCCU